rnacentral:lncRNA from 1 species
GGCCUCGCGCCGUGGGACGGCGUCGCUCCCCGCCGGCUGCCGUUAGGGCUGGGAGCCGGCUGGGCGCGGGGGUAGUGAGGGUGCCUCUCGCCGUGGCUGCGCGGCGGCCUCGUCCGAGAGGCCGGCGCCGGGGCAGUGACCGGCCCGUGCCCAGCCGCCGCGCAGGGCGCCCGGGGCAGCUGGCCGAGCCCUCGAUGCCUCCCGUCUGACGGAGGCGCCCGGGAAGCGCCGCCCACCUCGGCCCCGCACCCUCGCCGGCCUGCCGGGUCUCCGCCAGCCCUAGCAGACAGAGAGGGGCGCCGGUCCCUAGUCCCCCAGACCUCCAUUCAAGGUCAAAACUUUGCCCAGCUCAGCCUUGCUCGACCCUGGGCAGGGAAGCGCGGACAUCGGCAGAGGGAGCCCGAGGCUCUCCGUGCCCUUCGCGCCGGUCAAGAACUGUGGAAUCUUUCAGAUGAUAUUCUGAUACUUCUGGACCAAGAUUGAAUUUGUUCUUCAUGAAAAAUGUCUGGGACCUUUUAUAUGGACGGGGAAUACCAACGUAGAGAUGGUCAAGAAAAUUUGCGCUCCGACCUAAACCAAGCACGUUGUAUGGUAGUUGGAGAGCUAAAUGUGCGGAUUGGCUGAGUUGGCCAGCUAGAGUUAUUCAAUUAAAAAAAAAUUAAAAACAUCUCUGGAAACAUUGCUCCCAUCAAAUAUUAAAAUGAUAAAAUGUUAAA